AUACCCUACACCCUACCAACUGAUGGUGACGCCAGCUUUACCAUAAACCGUAGGUUGUAGUUUAGUAGGUAAGGUUAGGUCAGGUUAGAUAAUGUUUUGUUCUGUUAGACUAGGUGGGUAUUUGAUUAGAUUUAAAAGCGAAUUUUGUGUAAAUGUCGCAAGAACUGGAGAGUCUAGCGACUUCACAAAUGGGUGGCAGCAUGUGAGAUGCCUGCUAUAUGAAUACCAGAAAGCCUUCUCUAUGCCUCAACCCCCUGUUCUGGGCUGGGCGGACACUUUCAUCCCAUGUGGGAAGCUCCCCUAGGAGCAUACACGGAGCCAGGUGCAGUGUCAGGGACAGGGUGCCCUGUUCACUGGAUGGGCUCAGCCCCAAUGACUUGUACCAGGGUGUUUGCCCAUACCAAUAGCUCCCCCUAAUUCCUAUCAUUCCUCCAACUCUGUAGUCUUUUUGGGCCAAAACUUGAAAGGCAACCCAACAAAACUUUAAAUUGAUUUUUAACUUGUGGCAUAGUACUUACUAUUUUGCCAGUCUGACAACAUCCCAUUACUGCCUUGACUGGCUUUCUUCUCUCUCAGGCUGAUCCUGUGUCACAGAGCCACAUAGAUGAGCAGCUACCCAUCGUAGGAUGCACACUCAACCUCCUGCUAGUUUCUGAGCCAAGUCAGCUUGACAGAGGGGUCUGCUAAUGCACAGUCACCUAGCCACUGCUAACAGAUGCUGGCUGGGACAGACGCUCAUCAAAGGUGUGCCACACGACAUGGGCAUUCUCGUUCUGCAUCAAGCCUCAAGGUGCCUCAGCCAAACGGCAGUGAGAAAUAAGGGUUGAAGAAGGAAAAGAAGAGGACUGAGGAGAAAAUCCAUUUACCACAAUUUUAUCACUGUGGACAAUCGCGAAUGCGUAGUGUAAUAUACCUAUUAACUUAGUAGCCCAGCACGCUCAAGAGAUCUUGGAAACUGGACCACCCCAGAUCAGUAGAUGCAGACAUGCACGUGCAGACGAAACACCAGCGCCAUGCAUGGGGUCCAAUCUCACCAUGGAAAUGCCAAAGCACACAGCUCAAGCCAUGCUGCCAUCCACAUGACGUGCGGCCAGGCUCGUUGCUGUCGGCGGUUCUGAAGACAGCGGUGCGAUCCAGCUGAAGGACGUCACCUGGCAGGAAGUUGUAGAGUGUGGUGGCCAGUAUCAAGCCACAUUGUUCAGAAACCAUCACAUUAUCUCCAGGUCACUAGUCGCCGGUGCUCGAGCUGACGGCGUCGUUCAAGGGCUCCACGGUGACAAGCGCCGUCACCGCUGCCGCCGCCGCCGAGACCAUCCGACUCCUGGGCCCUGUUUCACGGCAGCGUACUGCAGCGCGCUACGCAGCGCUGCUGUGUUAGUGCGGCGAUUGAGACGAAUUCGGCUCGACGCUCCAGCGUUGCGAAACACCCGUGUCUAUGAAGGAUACGCCGAUACGUCUUCCAGCUUCAAGCCCUUCCCGCCCCCCCCCCCCCCCCCCCGCCCCGUCCCAACGGUGUUGGCCGAGAUUGGGGUUGGUAUUUUAACGGGCUCUCCGAUGACGUCCCGCAAUUUGUGUUAUGUAAUUUGACGAUUAUGUCGUAGUCUCAUUCUGUCUCGAUAUGCUAAUAAAUGAUAAAUGGGACGGAGGUUGGAAGUAAGGUGUGAGUGGCUGUAACCGGCAGGUUUUGGCGAGCGCGAUAUUAGUUAUUGUGAGCGCGCCAGCUGCAUUAAAUCGCGCGCUUCUGGCGAGAAAAUACUUGCUCUGGAACCUAGAAGUUUGUCGUGAAAUCUAUGUGCCUUUGGAUUGAAUUAUUAGAACAUAAUGUACUUUCGGUGUCCAGCACUGCAGCUCUGGAAAUAGAAAUAUGGAUGUUGGCUGUUUGAUGUAGCAAGGGCUAACAAUCUGCGUCAAGAAUCAAAAGCUGUAUGCAAAUUAAAGUGAAUAUAUUUCAUUUAUUCAAUGAAUUUUUAAAUUUUGUGAUACAAAACAUAAAUGUGUCAACUACUGAUUACACCCGGCUGCAAACACUGUAACGCUUGCAAUGCUGUACGGCAAAUAAAUAAUAUAGAUUCU